rnacentral:misc_RNA from 1 species
AACCUUAUGGACCUGCGGGCGUAUACCUGCGGAGGGAUCAUUACCGAGUGAGGGUUCCCCUUCCCGGGGCCCGACCUCCCAACCCUCUGUCUACAGAACCUCCGUUGCUUCGGCGGACCCGUCGCUCCGCGACCGCCGGGGGAGCCCGUCCUCCUCGCGGGGGCGUCCCCUGGCCCGCGUCCGCCGGUGGCCCAACCUCUCAAAACUCUUUUGUCUCAACCGCGUCUCCAUGUCUGAGUC